GAUGAACGCUAGCGGGAGGCCUAACACAUGCAAGCCGAGCGGUAUUGUUUCUUCGGAAAUGAGAGAGCGGCGUACGGGUGCGGAACACGUGUGCAACCUGCCUUUAUCUGGAGGAUAGCCUUUCGAAAGGAAGAUUAAUACUCCAUAAUAUAUUAAUUGGCAUCAAUUGAUAUUGAAAACUCCGGUGGAUAGAGAUGGGCACGCGCAAGAUUAGCUAGUUGGUGAGGUAACGGCUCACCAAGGCAAUGAUCUUUAGGGGGCCUGGGAGGGUGAGCCCCGACACUGGUACUGAGACACGGACCAGACUCCUACGGGAGGCAGCAGGGAGGAAUAUUGGUCAAUGGGUGCAAGCCUGAACCAGCCAUCCCGCGUGAAGGGUUAAGGUCCUAUGGAUUGUAAACUUCUUUUGUACAGGGAGAAACCUACCCUCGUGAGGGUAGCUGAAGGUACUAUACGAAUAAGCACCGGCUAACUCCGUGCCAGCCGCCGCCGUAAGAC
rnacentral:rRNA from 1 species